rnacentral:rRNA from 1 species
UACGUAGGGCGCAAGCGUUGUCCGGAAUUAUUGGGCGUAAAGAGCUCGUAGGUGGCUUGUCACGUCGGGUGUGAAAGCUUGGGGCUUAACUCCAGGUCUGCACUCGAUACGGGCUGGCUAGAGGUAGGUAGGGGAGAACGGAAUUCCUGGUGUAGCGGUGAAAUGCGCAGAUAUCAGGAGGAACACCGGUGGCGAAGGCGGUUCUCUGGGCCUUACCUGACGCUGAGGAGCGAAAGCGUGGGGAGCGAACAGG